UAUUUCUUUCUGAGUGAGGCAGUCAAGAAGCAGCAAAAUCUCAGCUGGGAUCCCAUGAGACUCUGUCAAUCACAAUGGCAUGUGAUUCUUCAAUCCAAGGUAAACUUCCUCAGUAACUACAAUCAGAUGGUUGCUAAAGAACUGCUGUCAGUCACUGAGUUAUCCUCAAAGCUUGGGUACACUGCCUGAAAUAUGCUCAGCCAAGGUAAUGAAACCUACCCAGGACUCUGAAUUGCAAUCCAG